AGCUUUGCGCGCAGUGGCAGUAUCGUAGCCAAUGAGGUUUAUCCGAGGCGUGAUUAUUGCUAAUAGAAAAGUAAUGGAAUGUUAAUAAUAAAUAUAGAAGGAAUGAAUGUAAUUUUUGCAUAUAUUAAAAGGUG